UCAUAUAUUAUUCGCUGAUGACAGUAUAUUGUUUGGAGAAGCUAGCGAGUGGGGCGUACAAGUUUUGAAAUCAAUCCUAAUGGAAUACAAAAGAUCCUCGGGGCAAAGUGUUAAUUACGACAAAUCAACAGUUUUUUUAUAGUAGCAACACUGCAGAAGAAUCCACGAGAGUUGUUUCCAUUAUUCUUGCGGUGAGAAAUUCAAAUAAUAUGGAAAGAUAUCUUGGUUUGCCGAAUCUUGUGGGGAAAAAUAAAAAAUCUUCUUUUUUGAUAGUAAAGGAUCGCAUGAGGCAACAGAUUAAGAAUUGGAAUGUGAGGUUCCUUUCUCAAUGAGGAAAGGAAUUAUUUAUUAAAUCUAUUUUACAGGCUAUACCCACUUACACUAUGGCCUAUUUUUUACUUCCAAAGUCUUUGUAUGUGGAAUUGGACAGCAUAAUGACUCGAUUUUGGUGGCAAAAAGGACGAGGGCGAAAAGGGAUUCAUUGGUGCAGUUGGAACGACUUUGCGAUCUGAAGGAGAAUGGGGGUAUGGGAUUUCAUUGUUUAUCCAAAUUCAAUGUUGCAUUAUUAGCUAAACAAGGUUAGCGUCUUCUUAAUAAUCCAGAUUCAAUAUUAACGAAAGUUAUAAAAGUUAAGUACUUUCUAAAUACGGAUUUUCUUAAUUCUGAGUUAGGACGACUACCUUCGUAUACCUAGAAGAGUGUAUGUGCUGCUAAAGAAUUGCUGAAGAAUGGGAUUUGUUGGAGGGUGGGAACGAGUUAGAAUAUUUCAAUUGCUAUUGAUGCGUGGCUUCCUAGUACUGAAAGUUAUAAGUGUAUAGGCCCAAAUUUGCCUGGGCCCACACCUAAAAUCAAAACAAAAAAUAAUAAUAAAAAUAAAAUCAUAAACCAAAUAAAUUAAAUGUCCAAGUCCAUUUACAACUCAACCCUAACUAUUAAAACCAAACCACUCAGCCCAACUACUAAAACAAACCUAAUUAACAAACAACCCAAACCCCAUACCCGAAUAAAACAAAAUAGGCCCAAUGGCCCAAAACACUAAUGAAUUUUUUCGGCAGAAACCCUAGGUCACUAGAAGCUUCAGCCGCCGCAGCCUCCAAUCGAUUCUUCCACGCGCGCCAUGCUUCACGCCCACGAAUAACUCCUCCACGCCAUGCACACCUGCAACAGAAAACAACGAAGCAGCAAUUGAUAGCAGAUCACAGCGAAUUACAGCAAAGAAUUUGUAUUUUCUUUUAUUUAUUUAUUUUAUUUUUCGGCUAUAAACCGAAGGAAAAUGAUGUAAAUGGGAUAUUUUUUUUCCUUUCUUUCUACGAAGAGAAUAAUAGUUGAAUAUACGCAUAUAUGAAAAGAGGAGAAAUCAAUUCAAAGAGAGUUUUCAAGAGGUGAUUUUAGAGUUUAUUUUUUCUUUCGAUUUUGUUUUUUUUUCCCUUUGAUUUUCAUUAUCGUGUGUAAUAUACAAAAUAAACAAGGGCAUAAGCACUUAUCUAAUAGAAGGAGCCUUCGAAUCCUUGUUGACUUCGUUGAAAUCGAAGCUUUGAUGGGGAUUCAGGGGGGUCCGAUUUGUUGACAUGGAAGCAAGGAGAGAAGAACUUCUUGGUUCGCUCGGUUGAGGAGGAAAAGAGAUUGAAAAAUUUUGAGAGAAAAUGGUUUUGAAAGCUGUUUUGAGAAGAAUAAUCAGUCUGAGGUUAUUAGGGCUUUUGUUUUGAUUCAUAUAUAUGCUCAAAAACGGCACCGUUUAGUAAAAACAUGGAUCUGCGCCUUAACCCAUUUGGAAGCCGAAUCUGCGCCUUUUUCACCUUGAAAGGUUAAUUUGCGCGUCUGGUCCUUUGACUUUGCGCAGAAUUUUUAAUUGAUCUUUAUUUACAUUUUAUUUUAUUUUGAAUUUGUCCUAGAAUUUGUGUCUUUGCGUUUCGGUCUGCGCCUAGGCACAGUGUUUGGAAAACUGGGAUAUUUUCAUAUCUAAUCCCUAUACAUUUGCACCCGUUGCACGCUGGUCCUUAUUUCUAUUUCAAUAGUUUUUUAUAUUUAUUAAUUAUCCCUUCUAAUUUGAUUUCAUUUCAAUUAAGUUUUACUUCAAUUUAUAUAUCUCAUUAUUUUUAAAAAAAAAAUCCUUUUAGCAUUCAUCUUUUAUUUUUUUAUUUUUUUAUAUACAUUUUGAAUUACCUUGAUAAGUUUACUUUGUUUUUUUCAAAAUUAUUAUUUUUAAAUUCCUUUUUAUAUCAUAUUAUUUUAACAUUUUAGAUAAUAUUUUUUUUAUAAAUGUUUUUGUACAUUAUUGUAUAUAUAAAUAAUUCAUGAUAAGGUUAAUUUUAUUCCAUGUAUAUUAUUAAUCUUAUAUUAUUUUAUACAUAUAAUUUCUUUUAAAUUUAUUCCUAUAUUUUAUUAUAUAUCUUUGCUAUUUAAAGGAAGAUCCUACAUCUCAAAUGUAUUAUUUAAAUUAUUAUUAUAUAUAUAUACAUGUAUAUUGGUACAUAUGUUUGAUUUAUAUACAUCAUUAAAUCCAUGUUAUUUUAUUCAUAUAAUUUCUUUUAAAUUUAUUUGUAUACAUCAUUAUGUUUUUAAAAUCUAUUACAUAUACAAUCUAUGAUAACAUUAAUUUAAUUUUAUAUAUAUUAUUAAUCUCAUGCUAAUUUUUACAAAUAAUUAUUCUUAAUAUAUAUGCAUGUUUUGUGAAUUUGUUAUGUGUAUUAUAUCUUAUAAUGUAUUUUUAUUAUUCUUUCAUAGCUUAUAUAUUAUUUAAGAAUCAUGUACAUUGUCAAAUUUUUAAAUGAAUUUAUGUUUAAAAUAUUUUGUAUAUAAUUUGCUUCAAACUUUUAUUCUAUAAUAUUUAUUUCAAUAAUUAUAUAUCCCUAGUUUUUAUACAAGCUUGUCAACUUAUAUUAUGUGUUCAUUAAUUUAUCAUUAUUUUGAAAAUGUCUUACACCACAUUGACUUCUAAAUUCCAUUUUAUUUUGUACAUGUUUUGGGGAUUAUUUUAUAUUGUGCCAUAUUUAUUUUUUAUGUAUAUCAUUUAGUCAUUGUUUUGUUCAUUAUAUUAAUUGUGCUCCAUCCAUGAUUAAGAAUUUGGUUACAUUUACUUAGAAUAGUUGUACAUAAUUGUUGGAUUUAUUAAUUGUGGUUUAUUGUACUAUAUGUACAUAUUGUUUCAUGUUCAUUAAUCCUUUUCUAUACAAAUGUUUCAUUACAAUGCAUUAAGUAUUCCAUCUAUUUUAAAACAAAUAAAUGCGUUUUGAGCGAAAUUCCAAUUUUCCUUAUUAUUCAAAAAUUCUAAAAUAAGGCAAUAUCCAAUAUUUGAGAAUUCCAGAAAUCGUGCCCUACCGUGCUGGGUAUGAUUUUUUUGGUGAACUAAAUAUUUGGAUAUCAUUUUAUAAUUUUAGGGUACAAGUUUUUGAAAGUCAAAAAUCAAUCGUAUCUUUGAAGAUAUAAAGGAUCGUAUCCAAUCGUGCUGGGUAUAAUGCUGCAUAUUUUUGAAACGAGAGAAUUUUGACAGUUAAAUUGAACUAUUAAUCAUUUUAAAGAACUAUGCUUUGAACGAUAUUUUUUUAAAAUCUUUGAUAUAAAGAUAGCAUCGAAUCAAUUUGGUACCAAUUUUUAGACGUAAUGAAGAUGCUCACAUUUUCUCAUACGUAACCGACUCCCAAACUCAUUGUUUUAAAAAAUUUUACAAAAUUAUUUUAAAUAGAAUAAAAAAUUUUAGUAGAUGACCUACUCCCACCUAAGCAAAGAGAUUGGUGGCUACUCCAAUGGUUUCGACAAUAAGGUAGAAUCAAUUAGGAAUUCCAGUGAACUAAGUAAAGUGGCAGAGCUUAUUAAUGAACAAAAGAUAGAAUGGAGGUCUGAUUUAAUUUAUUCUACCUUCUCUAGAGAAGAAAUAAUUAGAAUUGUACGAAUUCCCUUAGCAAUGGAACCUCAUGCGGACUUCAUGGUAUGGAAGGGGGAGGCCCAGAGAGAAAUCUCGGUGAGAAGUGCUUGUAAACUAUUACAUGGCUUUAUUCUUAAUUAUUUACAGACUGAGGCUAAGUUAUUUUACAAAAAAAUUAUUGAAUAUUCACAUUUCAGUGAAAAUUAAAAUCCUAAUCUAGAAAAUUUCUUGGAAUUUUAUUCCCCAUUUUGUUAAUCUUCGGUGCAAGAGAUUGCUCUCAGAGGUAGUCUAUCCCAGAUGUGGGGUAGCUGAUGAAAACAUUGACCAUAUCUUCAGAGAAUGCCCUGUGGCACGAGAAGUUUGGAUUAGCUUGAAUUUGGAAUGGGUAUUAACAAAUUUAUUUUUAUCACACUGGGAGUGGUUUACCUGGGUGUUCAAGAACAGUUCCAGCAUUCAAUGUCGAGUAUUUUGUUGCUCUUUGUGGGCGAUCUGGACGGCCAGAAACAAAGCAUUACAUGAGGGAAAGAAAAGUACAGGUCCAGAAAUUGUUGCAUGUAUAAACAAAUAUAUUAAGGAACUAGAAGGGUGUGAGAUUCAGGAUUUUACCACGAGGCAUGAGUCUAUAGGUUGGUGCCCACCAAUUGAUUCCAUUGUCAAAUUGAAUUUCAAUGCCGCUUUUGAUGACUCUCAGGCAAAAUUAGUCUCAUGGGUGGUGGCUAGAAAUGCUUCGGGAGAGGUCCUCACCUUCAAAACAGAGGUCCACGGGGAGGUGGCCUCUUCAUUUGCAGAAGAGGCCCUUGCGUGCCUUCAAGCAAUGUUUUAGGGAAAACAGAUGGGGUUCAUAUCAGUUAUCAUCGAAUGAGUUUUAGUAUCAGUAAUAAAAAAAAGUAACUCAGAGAAUACUAAUAAAUAGGUGAUUGGGGGUAAAAUAAGGAACAUUCAGCAGCAAAAGCAAUUUUUUCACCAAAUAACCUUUCAACAUACAAACAGAUUUGCAAAUAUUAUGGCUCACAACUUAGCUAGAGAAGCGAUGAAAGAAGAGUCGCGAACUUACCUGGUCGGAAAGGUCCUUGAGCCAAAAUCAUUGGAGAUGGAUCCACGGAGAAGAAAUGAACCUGAUUGAUGGUUGUUUGAUAGAGGGUCUCUGCGUGGAAAGUAAAAAGGAAAGUGGAAAUUAACGGGUUUUGGAAACCGCUUUUCUGGGGAUUAGAAUUGAUGCAUUAAAUGCGAAAUGCUAAUUAGAUUCCAACUGUUAUCAGACUGGAUGUUUUAUUUAAUUUCUGUUUAGUUUUUUCAUCUAUUUCUUUAGGAAUCAUUUAAGUUUUUGCCAUAGUUGGGUUUUGUUUUUUGGUGGGCUUGUGGAUUUUGAUAGCCCAUUUGUAUCUUUUCUCAAAAAAAAAAAAAAAAUUCCCCUUAAGAGUUACUUUAUCAUGAACAUGCCAAAGUGAUUUCCUUAAUAAAAUGUGAGAAAAUUAAAAAUAAUAUUAAGACAAGAUUAACUAUAUUUUAUAUUAGUUUAGGGUAUUAGUCUAUUAAUAAAAUGUAAAAAAAAAAGUUAUUGCCUUCUUCCUUUGUCAUACUAAAUUUUCUCUAUUAUUUAAAUAGAUUAUUCGCAAGUAUUGUAUAUACAUUUUUUUUAUUUAUUCCGAAACAAGUUUUAUAUAUACAUGAUUUUAUAUGUGCAUUAUUAUAUUUAUAAAAUAUAUGUACGACAAAUUUGAAACAAGUUUACAUUCAAUUAACAUUAUAAAUUAAAAAAAUUUAAAAUAUCAAUUAAAAUUUAUUAUUGAAUAUUUAAUCUAAAUAUUUAUUAAGAGUAAAGUUUAUUAUAAAAAUUAAAUACAUGAAUAUUAUCUUUUAUUUAAUAAUGAUAAAUUCAUAAAUCAUUAUUACAUUUUUAAAAAAUUACUCAGUGAAUAAAAAAUAAUAAUGUAACUUUCUUGAUAUUUUAAUAAAUAUUAAAUGUUAUAAAAUAACUUUCCAAGAAAUUAGAUUGCAUUGGAAGCACCAAAUGCUAUCUAACUUUCCUUAUUCUAGUCUCCGAUUGUGAAAGUAACUCUCAUGCAUAGCUAUUUAAGGAUGUUGUUUUAAUUAAUUAAUUUAUUUAUUUUUAUUUUAAAUGAAAUUAUUAUAUGUUUUAAUGAUAUUUCAUUGAAAUUUUUUAAGGUUGCAUGCGUACUUAACUAAGGACAUAAUGAUGUUUCAUUAUUUAAUUGAUUAAAUGUCUUCACUUCUAUUUUUUUAUCAUUAAAUUUUGUUUUUAAUUUUUUUUAUUUCCUAAAAUUUUCAUUAAAGUAAGCUAGUGAUUAAUUAGGAUUAUAAAAUUUAUAUUAUUUUUAUUUAAAUGGAAAAAUAAUUUGAAUAUAAUUAGGAUAUUAAAUUAUGAAUUUCAUGCUUCCUGAUAUAAAAUUUUGAAUUCCAUUAAAUGUUAAUGCUUAUUUUCUUGAGUCCUGAGUUUGAUUCUUCUCUUAUUUACAUUUGUAUUUUUUAUUUCAUGUUAUUUUAAGUUUUUUAUUUUUAAUUUGUGUUUAUAAUUAAUAAAUAUAUUAUUUUCAAGUUUUUUUUAUUUUUAAUUCAUCUAUGUUUUAUUUAUAAAAUCAAAUAAUAAAUAUGUAAUUAUUUUUUAAAAACAUUAACUAUUUCUUUAGAUAUAUUUUUCUUUAUAUAUAAUAUUUAUAUGUCAAUUUUUUUUAUAUUCCGACUAAUAAACUCCAAGCUCCAAACAACGAUUCGAUGAUUGAUACGGUGAAUUAGUACCAUCGACGAGUAUAACAUACUUUAGAUCCAAGUUGAUUUGAUGGCCAGUGUUGAAGAUUAAAGAAGAAAGCUUUUGGAUUUUGGUUUGAAUAUUUGUAACGUUCAAAGUUAAUUUAUGGGAAAAAAAAACUAAAUUGUAGAGGAGACCUUUCGAUUGGU
rnacentral:lncRNA from 1 species